GAUUAAAAAUUUCAUUCGUUUUUACAAUUAAAAAAUGGUUUAACUGGCGAAAUAACCAAAUAGUUACAUGUUGCAUGCUAUGUGUACCUCAUGCUGACAUAGAGGGGCUAGUUUUUAACUGUAAAAACAAAUGGAAUUUUUAACA
rfam:Gossypium hirsutum cultivar TM-1 unplaced genomic scaffold scaffold743.1, whole genome shotgun sequence